rnacentral:ribozyme from 1 species
AGAACCGGUAGCUCUGGAUUGCUAUAGGACCCGAAGUCCCUCUGAGGGGAAACACAGGCUAUCCUAUCGGGACACUUUCAGUUCGUGCAGAGUGGUAACAUGGUUAAUCGAAUAGGUAAGGUUGGGUACAUGAACUUGUUCCAAACCCUUAGGCGGAUGGCAUGGUUCAUCAGGAGCGG